rnacentral:lncRNA from 1 species
AGUUAGCGACAGGGAGGGAUGCGCGCCUGGGUGUAGUUGUGGGGGAGGAAGUGGCUAGCUCAGGGCUUCAGGGGACAGACAGGGAGAGAUGACUGAGUUAGAUGAGACGAGGGGGCGGGCUGGGGGUGCGAGAAGGAAGCUUGGCAAGGAGACUAGGUCUAGGGGGACCACAGUGGGGCAGGCUGCAUGGAAAAUAUCCGCAGGGUCCCCCAGGCAGAACAGCCACGCUCCAGGCCAGGCUGUCCCUACUGCCUGGUGGAGGGGGAACUUGACCUCUGGGAGGGCGCCGCUCUUGCAUAGCUGAGCGAGCCCGGGUGCGCUGGUCUGUGUGGAAGGAGGAAGGCAGGGAGAGGUAGAAGGGGUGGAGGAGUCAGGAGGAAUAGGCCGCAGCAGCCCUGGAAAUGAUCAGGAAGACCAAGGGCUGUGAACCCGCCUGGGGAUGAGGCCUGGUCUUGUGGAACUGAACUUAGCUCGACGGGGCUGACCG